CAGAGGCACUGGCAUAACAAAGGCAUGGUUUCUUCAAAACUUUCUCGGAAGUUUUGAUAAGUGGACCAGAGCUCAACCACACCUUGGUCAGUAUGGAAGUGCUAUUUAAGGUUCCCGCUGCACCACUUAUUCCGCAGGUGUUGGGUGGAAGAAUGAGGAGAAUUACAUCUGCUUGAAUGAAUGAGGAUAAUUAAAUGGAGGGCCCCAAUAAUGUAAUAACAACCAUCAAGUGCAACUAAGCAACAGAAACAUUGAAGCAUCAGCUACGAGCCCAGCACAUCAGCUGCUGAGGGAGGCAGAUGGAGCCCUGUCUUCUCAGAGCCUAAGUCUCGAAGACCACAAACUCUUCACACCCAUCAGGCAUCCUCAGUGCUGAUGCGGUGUGCCAGACGCCAUGCUAAGAGCUCACAUUUGCUAUUUGUGAGCCUCCAUCAAAGCUAAGAGAGAGUGCUUUUAAAAAACAACAGAAGAAGAAAAUAUAGAAAAACACAAUCAGGAGAGCUGAUUUUGGAGAGUGCAGACCUCUUCGUAGUUGGGGUGAAGAAGAAGCUCCUGAUGAGAUGGGGACUUAGAUGUCAGGUUGGCUUGAAGAAGAGAAAGGACUCCACGUUCCUGGAAGAACAAAUCCUAUGUAAUAUGAGCUUUGGUUCAGGAAAGUUGUAACUGCAAGGUUUGCAGAAGCUGGAUGGGAACUCAAUGAAGAUCCUUCCCAAGAUUUCAAUUUGCAGAAGAAAAGUCCAGAAGCCAGAAAGGUCAAGCAGGUCAUAACUGGAGCCAGGGCUUCUCAUUCCUGCUCAUGUCUACCUUUCAGUGGAUGGAGCUAUUGGCUUAUUUGAUGACUUCGAGCGUCUUCCCUGAAUUUGCCCAUGGUGAUGGCAUCAUGUGACCUCAUUUCCAUUUGAGCAUCAAGAAUGCUGAAUGGAGAAAUCACUUUUCUUUCGUUCCCUUCAAUCUUUCCAGCGCCUGACAUCUCUGUCACCGACAACUUCGGCUCCUUGUUUCCCUGCAGUUCUUGUCCCGGCCGAUCCCCGCAGAGCAGGAGAGGGUGAUGGAUGGGCCUGGGGAGGGAAGAUGGACAGCACCAGGGAAGAAUCUGUGAUUUGGAGGCCUUUGGUGACAUGCACACACAAAGAGACUAGGAAAGAAUGGCUUUUUCAAAAGCAUAAAUAGAAAACUGCUGGGCUUGAGUGCUUGCUGCCACAUAAUGAACAUGCUCGCCUUCUCCUAACAACGUUUUAAGUCGGUAAUUGGCCCAACAGGGGACACGAACUGUACACUGAGUCACAGAAUAGUACAGAAAAUCUCAGAAUGGCGUCACCUCCCAUCGGGAGAGUUGUCUGUGUGCCAAGCCCUGUGGAGAUGCAUUCGUGGCAUUUAAGGAGUGCAGACGGUCAGCAUCAGAAAGGACUUGGGAGGACAACCAUCCCCGGGGUCCCUGGCCUUUUCUACAUCAGAGGACUCUUUGAUUUGUCCCCCCUCUUCCCUUGGGUUUCAUUUUCUAAAGAUGCAGCUGGCAAACUAGACAGCUCUGAUCUGAAAAAGGAUGUGUUUUCCCACAGAAUAACCAUGGAUCUCUGUAAUGAUCACUUGCUCCAGUAAGUAACAGUUGAACACCUACCAAGUGACAGCAGAGCAGCAGCAUGUAACGCGUCACUCUCCUGGUUGACACCUGCUACAGACAUUACCAAUCAAUCAUGGAACCUUCCCCACCUGGAUGUGGCUCCAUGUAAGAACUUCCAAUCCACAGGAUUUGGUAAAGGAUGCAUAUUAUUGUCAUCAGGCAUAAUACUGUUCAAGGCCCUCAAGAUGACAUGAAACAACUACAGAUGUGUAUCUGCCAUCAAAUAUUUUGUCUCAGAAAGCUUUUUCAGUGUAGAGUAACUUCUUCCCAAGUGCCAGGAAAGAGCAGUUUCAAUGCCAUGAUACCUGGAGACAUGUAUAUAUUAUGAGAUGAUGUCCAUGCCCUGCUCACAAGUUGAAGAGAAAUCAGCUUGGGAGUGAGAAUGGGGACCACCAAGAAGGCUGCACAUGAAUGGGAAGUUGUCAGCUGGAGGGCCAGUCCAUCUGAGGCAGCGAUAACAGGAGAGUCACCUGUGAGUACAUGGAGCUGAGGAGGAGAGAAAUGCGGUCUGACCAGGAGGCGAGCUGAGACUGACAGCUGAGAGUCCCAGGUCAGCAGAGCAGGUAAAAAUGGUGAAUUGGUUGGUGGGAAUUCCAUGGGGACUGCACCUGAGAGGAUAAAGCAUACAUUGCAUAAAAAUGAAGAAUGAUGUAAAAAAAUAUAUAAAAUAAUAAAAAAGGAAAAAAGUGAUAAAAUUUUAAAGACUGGCAAUUCCAACUGUUGUGAAGUAUGUACAGCAAUAGGAACUCUCAGACAAUGCUAGGAAGAGUGUAAAUUGCUUAAAAAUGGAGACAAUUUAAGUGUUCAAUAAUGAAAUGGAUAAAUAAAUUAGAGUAUAUUCAUACAAUGAAAAAAAUAAAGUACUUAACACCAAAAAAAAAAAAAAGAUGAUUUGUAUCUA